rnacentral:lncRNA from 1 species
UUUAGAGCUGUGAAAAUUUGGGUUGGAUAAAGCUAAGUAAUUUGCUCAAGGUCACAUAGCUGGCAAAAAACAAUGCUAAGUUUUGAACCAAGGCUGUAUCUUUACUUAAGAUUUAAAUUUUAAGAUUAUACUGUUCUCCUUGUUUAACUUUUUAACUUACUUUUCUUGUGAUAUUAGCACAUAUAAAGUAGUAUUUUCUAAAAACUCCUCCCAAUUAUUUUUUUCCUCAUGGGAUUUAUGAUAAUGCUUAUGAAUCAAUUGUUGGUCACUUACAUUACUCUCUAGGGGGUGCUCUGUGCAUUCUUUCUUACAUCAUUCCAAAGGAGGAAUGUUAACAUGAGUCAAGGAUGUAAUGGAAUCCUCACAGAUCCACAAUUGGGCCACUGUGCUAAGAGGAGGAGCAAAUAGGGCAAUGUUUGGAGAAGCAAAUAGGGCAACAUUUUCUUCAUAGUACUGUGUAUUUGCUUGGAGAGGGCUCGGAGGCAUUACAGAACCGGAAUAUGAUAUGGGAUAAAUGAGGCAGACAGGAUAGUCUAGCUUUGCCCUAUGUCUAGGGAAUGUGGCUCUCUUGUCCUUGGGCUUUGUCUUCUUACCUCCUCUCAAAACCUGAUAAAAUACAGAGAACAGGAUCAGGAUGUGACCUAGAGGAAAGGCACCAGGGGCAGGUUUUUCAGAAAUGUUGGUUCUUAAUGGAAGAAGAAUCAGUCAUUGCGAUUAUUCUUGUGGUAGGAUGCCAUACCACCAGUGUAGACCUCCUGCACUCAGGCUCAGAUAUUUCUGCAAGAAUAGAGGAGCAGAAAGAAAUACUAUAAUGAAGGCCAAAGUGGAGUAUAAACAAAAUGGAGGGAUUAUUUGUUAAGCCUUUGAGAAUAUGCUGAAGGAAUAACAACUUUAUUGUAACUGCUGCGUGACAACAUGGAGAGAUGCGUCCUGAUGUCAAUGAUGAUAAAGCAUCAAAAAGUGUGCAUCUUAGAAUGAACAAAUUCUAAGUUAGUUAUGAUUGUUGGGGCUAACACAUUUUCAAUAUGUAUUUUUUUUCAAUGCAUGAAGCUAAAAUGAGAAAUAAUUAUAACACUUCACACUUGUUUACAACUUUACAGCCUCCAAAGCAUUUCCCUACACAUUAUCUGAUUAAAAUUUCAGCCUAGAACCAACACUAGCAACAGCAUCGUUAUCUCUGGUGGUAGAUGACAUUUUUAAAACCAUGUCAAUGAUGUUAUUCUGCAAGUUUGUAUUUACACACUUCUUCAUUUCAUUUACUAGUUGUGGCAGACUGCAUGUCCACCAAAAUCCAUUCUCCCUUUUUUCCUGGUACAACUGGGCUGUAUUUUCCAGGCUCCCUGAAGAGUUAUGGCUGUGUGACUGAGUUCUAGUCAAUGGAAUGUGAACAUACAAGGUAUAUACUACUUUCAGGCCUGGCCCAUACAAUUAUUCAGUACAUGCUCUCCCCUCCAUUUAAACAUUGGAGACAUUUUACUGGGAGACAAAUGUGAAGAUGGUAUAGCCUCCAUCACUCUAGGUCUUUAAAUGGCUUUGUAGUUCCUGUUAUCCCCACCCUAAGCAGUUACAUAAAAAAGUAAUAAACAUUGUUCUUUAAGCCAUUGAAUUCUGAAAUUUAUGUGUCAUCAUGUCUUAGCUUGCUUUUUUAAUUAAAAAAUUUUUAAACUUUUAUUUUAAGUUCAGGAGUACAUAUGCAGGUUUGUUAUGUAGGUAGAUUGCAUGUCAUGGGGGUUUGGAGUACAGAUCAUUUCAUCACCCAGGUAGUAAGCAUAAUUUCCAAUAUGUAGUUUAUUGAUCCUCACCCUCCUCCCACCUUCCACCCUCAAUUAGGCCCUGAUGUCUAUUGUUCUCUUCUUUGUGUCUAUGUGUACUCAAUGUUUAGCUCCCACUUAUAAGUGACAACAUGCAGGAUUUGGUUUUCUGUUUCUGUGUUAGUUUGCUUAGGUGAAUGACUUCCAGCUCCAUCAUGUUGCUGCAAAGGACACAAUCUCAUUCUUUACUAUGGCUGUGUGGUAUUCUAUGGUGUACAUGUACCACAUUUUCUUUAUCCAGUCUACCAUUAAUGGACAUUUAGUUGAUUCCAUGUCUUUGCUAUUGUGAAUAGUGCUGCAAUGAACACACAUGUGCAUGUGUCUUUAUGGCAGAAUGAUUUACAUUCUUCUGGGUAUACACUCGGUAAAGGGAUUGCUGGGUCAAGUGGUAUUUCUCUUUUAAGUUCUUUGAGAAAUCUCCAAGCUGCUUUCCACGAUGACUGAACUAAUUUACAUUCCCACCAGCAGUGUAUGUGUUCCCUUUUCUCCGCAAACUUGCAGGCAUCUGUUAUUUUUUUGACCUUUUAAUAACAGCAAUUAUGACUGGUGUAAGAUGGUAUCUCAUUGUGAUUUGCAUUUCUGUAACUACUAGUGACAUUGAGCAUCUUUUUAUAUGCUUGUUGGCUGCUUGUAAGUCUUCUCUUGAAAAGUAUCUGUUCAUGUGCUUUGCCCACUUUUUAAUGAGUUGUUGGUUUUUUGCUUGUUAAUUUGUUUAAGCUCCUUAUAGAUUCUAUACAUUAGAUAUUUGUUGAAUGCACAGUUUGCAAAUAUUUUCUCCCAUUCUGUAGAUUGUCUAUUUACUCUGUUGGUUGUUGCUUUUGUUGUGCAGAAGCUCUGUAGUUCAAUUAGGUCCAAUUUGUCAAUUUGUGUUUUUGUUGUAAUAAAAUCUUUACCAGAGCCUAUGUCCUGUCUUAGCUUACUUUAACAAAUACAAUAGAUCGAGUUGCAUGUUUUCC